GACGAACGCUGGCGGCGUGCCUAAUACAUGCAAGUAGAACGCUGAAGGAGGAGCUUGCUCUUCUGGAUGAGUUGCGAACGGGUGAGUAACGCGUAGGUAACCUGCCUGGUAGCGGGGGAUAACUAUUGGAAACGAUAGCUAAUACCGCAUAACAGUAGAUGUUGCAUGACAUUUACUUAAAAGGUGCAAUUGCAUCACUACCAGAUGGACCUGCGUUGUAUUAGCUAGUUGGUGGGGUAACGGCUCACCAAGGCGACGAUACAUAGCCGACCUGAGAGGGUGAUCGGCCACACUGGGACUGAGACACGGCCCAGACUCCUACGGGAGGCAGCAGUAGGGAAUCUUCGGCAAUGGACGGAAGUCUGACCGAGCAACGCCGCGUGAGUGAAGAAGGUUUUCGGAUCGUAAAGCUCUGUUGUAAGAGAAGAACGAGCGUGAGAGUGGAAAGUUCACACUGUGACGGUAUCUUACCAGAAAGGGACGGCUAACUACGUG
rnacentral:rRNA from 1 species